UACGAAGGGGGCUAGCGUUGCUCGGAAUCACUGGGCGUAAAGGGCGCGUAGGCGGCCGAUUAAGUCGGGGGUGAAAGCCUGUGGCUCAACCACAGAAUUGCCUUCGAUACUGGUUGGCUUGAGACCGGAAGAGGACAGCGGAACUGCGAGUGUAGAGGUGAAAUUCGUAGAUAUUCGCAAGAACACCAGUGGCGAAGGCGGCUGUCUGGUCCGGUUCUCACGCUGAGGCGCGAAAGCGUGGGGAGCAAACAGG
rnacentral:rRNA from 1 species